rnacentral:rRNA from 1 species
GAUGAACGCUGGCGGCGUGCCUAAUACAUGCAAGUCGUACGGAAAGGCCCUUCGGGGUACUCGAGUGGCGGACGGCUGAGUAACGCGUGGGAACGUGCCCCAAAGUGAGGGAUAACGCACCGAAAGGUGUGCUAAUACCGCAUAUGGUCUUCGGAUUAAAGCUUCGGCGCUUUGGGAGCGGCCCGCGUACGAUUAGAUAGUUGGUGAGGUAAUGGCUCACCAAGUCGACGAUCGUUAGCUGGUCUGAGAGGAUGAUCAGCCAGACUGGGACUGAGGCACGGCCCAGACUCCUACGGGAGGCAGCAGUAAGGAAUCUUCCACAAUGGGGGCAACCCUGAUGGAGCAACGCCGCGUGCAGGAUGAAGGUUUUCGGAUCGUAAACUGCUUUUAUAAGUGAAGAAUAUGACGGUAACUUAUGUAUAAGGAUCGGCUAACUACGUGCCAGCAGCCGCGGUAACAC